UACGUAGGGUGCAAGCGUUGUCCGGAAUUAUUGGGCGUACAGAGCUCGUAGGCGGUUUGUCGCGUCUGCUGUGAAAACUCGGGGCUUAACCCCGGGCCUGCAGUGGGUACGGGCAGACUAGAGUGCGGUAGGGGAGACUGGAAUUCCUGGUGUAGCGGUGAAAUGCGCAGAUAUCAGGAGGAACACCGAUGGCGAAGGCAGGUCUCUGGGCUGUAACUGACGCUGAGGAGCGAAAGCAUGGGGAGCGAACAGG
rnacentral:rRNA from 1 species